rnacentral:rRNA from 1 species
AUUGAACGCUGGCGGCAGGCCUAACACAUGCAAGUCGAGCGAGCGGCGGACGGGUGAGUAAUGUCUGGGAAACUGCCUGAUGGAGGGGGAUAACUACUGGAAACGGUGGCUAAUACCGCAUACCAUCGGAUGUGCCCAGAUGGGAUUAGCUAGUAGGUGGGGUAAAGGCUCACCUAGGCGACGAUCUCUAGCUGGUCUGAGAGGAUGAUCAGCCACACUGGAACUGAGACACGGCCCAGACUCCUACGGGAGGCAGCAGUGGGGAAUAUUGCACAAUGGGCGCAAGCCUGAUGCAGCCAUGCCGCGUGUAUGAAGAAGGCAUUCGGGUUGUAAAGUACUUUCAGCGGGGAGGCGUUACCCGCAGAAGAAGCACCGGCUAACUCCGUGCCAGCAGCCGCGGUAAUAC